rnacentral:rRNA from 1 species
GGGUUGUGAGGUUAAGCGACUAAGCGUACACGGUGGAUGCCCUGGCAGUCAGAGGCGAUGAAGGACGUGCUAAUCUGCGAAAAGCGUCGGUAAGGUGAUAUGAACCGUUAUAACCGGCGAUGUCCGAAUGGGGAAACCCAGUGCAAUUCGUUGCACUAUCGUUAACUGAAUACAUAGGUUAACGAGGCGAACCGGGGGAACUGAAACAUCUAAGUACCCCGAGGAAAAGAAAUCAACCGAGAUUCCCCCAGUAGCGGCGAGCGAACGGGGAGCAGCCCAGAGUCUGAAUCAGCUUGUGUGUUAGUGGAACGGUCUGGAAAGUCCGACGGUACAGGGUGAUAGUCCCGUACACCAAAAUGCACAGGCUGUGAACUCGAAGAGUAGGGCGGGACACGUGGUAUCCUGUCUGAAUAUGGGGGGACCAUCCUCCAAGGCUAAAUACUCCUGACUGACCGAUAGUGAACCAGUACCGUGAGGGAAAGGCGAAAAGAACCCCGGCGAGGGAGUGAAAAAGAACCUGAAACCGUGUACGUACAAGCAGUGGGAGCACCUUCGGGUGUGACUGCGUACCUUUUGUAUAAUGGGUCAGCGACUUAUAUUCUGUAGCAAGGUUAACCGUAUAGGGGAGCCGCAGGGAAACCGAGUCUUAACUGGGCGUUAAGUUGCAGGGUAUAGACCCGAAACCCGGUGAUCUAGCCAUGGGCAGGUUGAAGGUUGGGUAACACUAACUGGAGGACCGAACCGACUAAUGUUGAAAAAUUAGCGGAUGACUUGUGGCUGGGGUGAAAGGCCAAUCAAACCGGGAGAUAGCUGGUUCUCCCCGAAAGCUAUUUAGGUAGCGCCUCGUGAAUUCAUCUUCGGGGUAGAGCACUGUUUCGGCUAGGGGUCAUCCCGACUUACCAACCCGAUGCAACUACGAAUACCGAAGAAUGUUAUCACGGGAGACACACGGCGGGUGCUAACGUCCGUCGUGAAGAGGGAAACAACCCAGACCGCCAGCUAAGGUCCCAAAGUCAUGGUUAAGUGGGAAACGAUGUGGGAAGGCACAGACAGCCAGGAUGUUGGCUUAGAAGCAGCCAUCAUUAAAGAAAGCGUAAUAGCUCACUGGUCGAGUCGGCCUGCGCGGAAGAUGUAACGGGGCUAAACCAUGCACCGAAGCUGCGGCAGCGACACUAUGUGUUGUUGGGUAGGGGAGCGUUCUGUAAGCCUGCGAAGGUGUGCUGUGAGGCAUGCUGGAGGUAUCAGAAGUGCGAAUGCUGACAUAAGUAACGAUAAAGCGGGUGAAAAGCCCGCUCGCCGGAAGACCAAGGGUUCCUGUCCAACGUUAAUCGGGGCAGGGUGAGUCGACCCCUAAGGCGAGGCCGAAAGGCGUAGUCGAUGGGAAACAGGUUAAUAUUCCUGUACUUGGUGUUACUGCGAAGGGGGGACGGAGAAGGCUAUGUUAGCCGGGCGACGGUUGUCCCGGUUUAAGCAUGUAGGCUGAUUAUCCAGGCAAAUCCGGAUAAUCAAGGCUGAGGUGUGAUGACGAGGCACUACGGUGCUGAAGUAACAAAUGCCCUGCUUCCAGGAAAAGCCUCUAAGCAUCAGGUAACAUCAAAUCGUACCCCAAACCGACACAGGUGGUCAGGUAGAGAAUACCAAGGCGCUUGAGAGAACUCGGGUGAAGGAACUAGGCAAAAUGGUGCCGUAACUUCGGGAGAAGGCACGCUGGUGUGUAGGUGAAGCCCCUGCGGGUGGAGCUGAGACCAGUCGAAGAUACCAGCUGGCUGCAACUGUUUAUUAAAAACACAGCACUGUGCAAACACGAAAGUGGACGUAUACGGUGUGACGCCUGCCCGGUGCCGGAAGGUUAAUUGAUGGGGUUAUCCGUAAGGAGAAGCUCUUGAUCGAAGCCCCGGUAAACGGCGGCCGUAACUAUAACGGUCCUAAGGUAGCGAAAUUCCUUGUCGGGUAAGUUCCGACCUGCACGAAUGGCGUAAUGAUGGCGGGCUGUCUCCACCCGAGACUCAGUGAAAUUGAACUCGCUGUGAAGAUGCAGUGUACCCGCGGCAAGACGGAAAGACCCCGUGAACCUUUACUAUAGCUUGACACUGAACAUUGAGCCUUGAUGUGUAGGAUAGGUGGGAGGCUUUGAAGCGUGGACGCCAGUCUGCGUGGAGCCAACCUUGAAAUACCACCCUUUAAUGUUUGAUGUUCUAACGUUGGCCCCUGACCGGGGUUGCGGACAGUGUCUGGUGGGUAGUUUGACUGGGGCGGUCUCCUCCCAAAGCGUAACGGAGGAGCACGAAGGUUAGCUAAUCCUGGGUCGGACAUCAGGAGGUUAGUGCAAUGGCAUAAGCUAGCUUGACUGCGAGCGUGACGGCGCGAGCAGGUGCGAAAGCAGGUCAUAGUGAUCCGGUGGUUCUGAAUGGAAGGGCCAUCGCUCAACGGAUAAAAGGUACUCCGGGGAUAACAGGCUGAUACCGCCCAAGAGUUCAUAUCGACGGCGGUGUUUGGCACCUCGAUGUCGGCUCAUCACAUCCCGGGCUGAAGUAGGUCCCAAAGGGUAUGGCUGUUCGCCAUUUAAAGUGGUACGCGAGCUGGGUUUAGAACGUCGUGAGACAGUUCGGUCCCUAUCUGCCGUGGGCGCUGGAGAAUUGAGGGGGGCUGCUCCUAGUACGAGAGGACCGGAGUGGACGCAUCACUGGUGUUCGGGUUGUCAUGCCAAUGGCACUGCCCGGUAGCUAAAUGCGGAAGAGAUAAGUGCUGAAAGCAUCUAAGCACGAAACUUGCCCCGAGAUGAGUUCUCCCUGAGACUUUAAGUCUCCUGAAGGAACGUUGAAGACGACGACGUUGAUAGGCCGGGUGUGUAAGCGCAGCGAUGCGUUGAGCUAACCGGUACUAAUGAACCGUGAGGCUUAACCUUACAACGCCGAAG